ensembl:lncRNA
AAAACAUCCAGUCACUCUAUUGUGACAUUGGACUUGGCUGUACACUGCAUCAUGUCUGGUCCGCCAUGUGAUGCUGUAAUGUGUCCAUCAGGCAGAUCCAGUCCUGGCUGACAUCGAGACGGUUUGUCGGGGUUUGGAGCAUGAGACACCACAGGAACAUCCACAGGCACCGACACAUACCAGUCCUCCACUGCUUCUAAAUGACGUUUCAGCCCCUCCAGCAGAGGGACCAGCUUUAGAGAAUAUCUUUAGUCCACCAGACUCUUCAUCAGGACCUUCACACCAGGUAAAAUCAACAAAACCGUAACACCUGAAUGUUUUAAUCCACACUGUCUUACAGCACAAUGAGGGAUGAUUUGUCAUUCAUAUCCAUUAACAGUUCUGCCACUUUACUGUUGGUUGAUGACUGUUUGAUUGAGAAAACUGUUUUAUUAAACACAGACUAUAGUGUUUUCUGUUUCUCUGCCUACAGGCUUCUUCCACGAAUGAGUUGAUGGAAAUCUUCUCCCCCAAGAUGGAAUCACCAAUGGUGCCCAGCCAGAGUCUAUGUACCAGUCAGCCAGAGUCUCCACAGCUCUCCUGCCCUCCAACGCUCUCCAGCUCUCAGAUCCUCUCCAUGUUCCCCACACAGCCAGUGGGGGGCUCUCCAUACUCCUCUCCUACCUACCCCCCCACCAACAUGCCCUGGGGCCAGCAGGGGCUUGUGGGUAAUCAGUGGGCAGGCCCUGCUGGGGCGCCCUGGCCCCCGGUGCCAAAUGGUAUGCAAGCAUGGGCACCAAUUGGCCUCACAGCGCUCCCAGCAGGCGGCCAGGUUCAGGGUCACGACUCUCAGCCGGGAACCGUUAGUGGAGGAAACACACCCACCUCACCCACUGCUGUCAACGAGUGUGUCGACCCGUUAGACUCCCUCUGGACUGGUCUUGGUGCCUCUGGAGCAACAGUACCAGUGCAGCCAGCGCCCCCCACCUUAAACCAGAAUCUGAUCUGAUGAUUUGAAAAAUUGUUGAUGUGGUUUGGAUUUUUUGCUGAAAAAAAAUUAAUAGAUUUCAAAUGAAAGGACAAGUUCAGCUAAAAGUGUAAAUAGACUCAUUAUGUACUCAACCCUAUGGUGAUAGAAAGCUGGGAGUCAAUAAACAUUUCUGGAACUUCACAGCAGAACAGCGGUGCAGCCCCAACAACUGAUGUAGAUGGGGACUUGUUUUAAAAUGUAAAAUGCAGGAAUACAGUCUGCGGAUGCCCAAAUUGAUUUGAAAAGAUGUUAUUUAAAUCCUCGACGACUUCAUUGAUAUGAUUGCGCUUUUUGCUUUGUAGCUACAAUGAAGAUUUGGGCUUUAAAGCGGGUGCAAAUAACAUCUUUUAUUAUUAAUUUGGGAUCUGUAGGCUUCAGAGACUUGGAUUAUGGAGCCUUUAUGGGUUAUUUAGUGCAGUUAUCCACAUCUACUUCAGCUGUUCAGGAGAACACUGCAACACUGUUUUGCUGUGAAGCUCCAGAAACGUCUGGAGUCCUAAACCGCCCCUGACUUUCCAAUGGCAUUAGGGCGAGUAGAUAAUGACUGAAUUGUUCAUAUUUUUCAUGAACUUAUCCUUUAACACCACUAAAUUUUCCUGAUUUUGAUUUACAUGGAAGUUGUGGAUGAACAUGAAAGCUGCUGCAAGCUCUGGCAUUGUUUUAGCCAAUUUCCUCUCUGUUUUGCAAUUAGCACUCCCCUCCCUCGUCCUUAUGUCGCCACACUUUAACAACUCCUUUCUCUCUUUGUCUCUUCCUUUUUCUUCAAGCGUUUGGUAGUAUAAGCAGUCAAUUGGUGCUUACACCUACACAGGAGGAUCCUGCUCUUUUCCCCUGAGCAUUAGGGAGUUCUCUAUCCUGAGUGGAUAAAGUAGGCAGGGUUGCCGGAAAACAUCAGCAAAGAGAGGAGAGACAUGAGUUACUGACCAAACACUCUAUAGCAGUGACGACUGUUGGAAUAUAGCGAUAUGAUGCAGGACUUUGUUUUCAGUUCUAAAUUAAUGUAAGAGCGUUGAAUGGAUUUUUAAAAGCACUCGGACGACAGCAGCUAAACCUCUCGCAGCACAUGGUAUUUGUGUAACCGUCACCAUAAAUGGUAACAAAAAAGAUACAUGAGAGAAAGAAGAAACAGCUGCUCACUGAAACCCACACAAAUGUCAUUUCAAAUGUUAUUUUGUGUAAAUCUUGACUUCCUUUAUUUGUAAUCAAAUAUUUGUGUUGCUAUUAAAAAAAACUAGAAGAUUAGCCGAUAAUUACUGUCACUGUGAACUGAGAAAUACUGUGGCGUGAUCCAAAACAGAACAGAUUCACUGUUUACAUGGAAAAAUUACAGUUGAAAUCCUAAAAUACUAUCAAUAAAGAUGUCAGCAUUUGACACUAAUCAAAUUUGAUUUAGUAUGUUCUGUUUUUUGAGUUUCACCUAAUACUUGAAAUGACUUUUUCUCUCUUUAUUUGGUUUGUGCUUCUUUGAUAUCAAAUUAACUUGAUUUUUUUUCUCUAAAAAAAUUAAUAAAAUACAAAUAAAACUCAUAUUGUGUCCUUCUGUUUUUCUUCUUUCUGCUUUUCUUAUCCUGUUGCUGAGAAAAAG